UACAGAGGGGGCAAGCGUUGUUCGGAAUUACUGGGCGUAAAGGCGCGUAGGGGGCCGCCUAAGGCAGGCGGGAAAUCCCUCGGCUCAACCGGGGAACUGCGUCUGAUACUGGGUGGCUUGAAUCCGGGAGAGGGAUGCGGAAUUCCAGGUGUAGCGGUGAAAUGCGUAGAUAUCUGGAGGAACACCGGUGGCGAAGGCGGCAUCCUGGACCGACAUUGACGCUGAGGAGCGAAAGCUAGGGGAGCAAACGGG
rnacentral:rRNA from 1 species